AAUAUUGCACAAUGGGGGAAACCCUGAUGCAGCCAUGCCGCGUGUGUGAAGAAGGCCUUCGGGUUGUAAAGCACUUUCAGUAGGGAGGAAGGUAGUGUAGUUAACACCUGCAUUAUUUGACGUUACCUACAGAAGAAGCACCGGCUAACUCCGUGCCAGCAGCCGCGGUAAUACGGAGGGUGCGAGCGUUAAUCGGAAUUACUGGGCGUAAAGCGCAUGCAGGCGGCCUGUUAAGUCAGAUGUGAAAGCCCGGGGCUUAACCUCGGAAUUGCAUUUGAAACUGGCAGGCUAGAGUCUUGUAGAGGGGGUAGAAUUUCAGGUGUAGCGGUGAAAUGCGUAGAGAUCUGAAGGAAUACCAGUGGCGAAGGCGGCCCCCCUGGACAAAGACUGACGCUCAGAUGCGAAAAGCGUGGGGAGCAAACAGGAUUAGAUACCCCUGGUAG
rnacentral:rRNA from 1 species